UACGAACCGUACAAACGUUAUUCGGAAUCACUGGGCUUAAAGGGUGCGUAGGCGGCCAUGUAAGUGAGGUGUGAAAUCCCUCGGCUCAACCGAGGAACUGCGUCCGAUACUGGUUGGCUUGAAUCCGGGAGAGGGAUGCGGAAUUCCAGGUGUAGCGGUGAAAUGCGUAGAUAUCUGGAGGAACACCGGUGGCGAAGGCGGCAUCCUGGACCGGCAUUGACGCUGAGGCGCGAAAGCCAGGGGAGCAACGGG
rnacentral:rRNA from 1 species